GAUGAAGAACGUAGCGAAAUGCGAUAAGUAGUGUGAAUUGCAGAAUUCAGUGAAUCAUCGAAUCUUUGAACGCACAUUGCGGCCAUAGGUAUUCCUUUGGCCAUGCCUGUUCGAGCGUCAUUUACACCCUCAAGCCUAGCUUGGUGUUGGGCGUCUGUCCCGCCGUUUUCGCGUGCGGACUCGCCUCAAAGUCAUUGGCGGCGGUCGUGCCGGCCCCCUCGCGCAGCACAUUUGCGCUUCUCGGAGGCCCGGCGGAUCCGCGCUCCAGCAAGACCUUUCACGACUUGACCUCGGAUCAGGUAGGGAUACCCGCUGAACUUAAGCAUAUCAAUAAGCGGAGGA
rnacentral:misc_RNA from 1 species